rnacentral:tRNA from 1 species
UAGGAAGUGGUGUAGUGGAAGCACUUGGAGUUUUGAUCUCCACAGGGUGGGUUCGAGUCCCCCCUUUCUAA